AAAGUCGUAACAAGGUUUCCGUAGGUGAACCUGCGGAAGGAUCAUUAAAAACGAUCACCGGUGUACCCAAGCGACGUCGAUUACUCGACCUUGUGGGGCUGUCUUAAACUCACAGCAUUACCAGUCGCGCGGGAUACUGAUGCCCUAGCCCUUGAGCUAGGGGCCGAGUGAAUCCCACCCGUGUCUACAUACUCUUGUUGCUUUGGCGGGCCGUGGCCUCCACUGUGGGUUCCGCCUGCAUGUGCCCGCCAGAGGAUCAAACUCUGAAUUUUAGUGAUGUCUGAGUACUAUAUAAUAGUUAAAACUUUCAACAACGGAUCUCUUGGUUCUG
rnacentral:misc_RNA from 1 species